UGACAAGCAAUUUUUAUAUAAUUGUUACU
rnacentral:piRNA from 1 species